rnacentral:rRNA from 1 species
AGACCCGAAACCCGGUGAUCUAGCCAUGGGCAGGUUGAAGGUUGGGUAACACUAACUGGAGGACCGAACCGACUAAUGUUGAAAAAUUAGCGGAUGACUUGUGGCUGGGGGUGAAAGGCCAAUCAAACCGGGAGAUAGCUGGUUCUCCCCGAAAGCUAUUUAGGUAGCGCCUCGUGAAUUCAUCUCCGGGGGUAGAGCACUGUUUCGGCAAGGGGGUCAUCCCGACUUACCAACCCGAUGCAAACUGCGAAUACCGGAGAAUGUUAUCACGGGAGACACACGGCGGGUGCUAACGUCCGUCGUGAAGAGGGAAACAACCCAGACCGCCAGCUAAGGUCCCAAAGUCAUGGUUAAGUGGGAAACGAUGUGGGAAGGCCCAGACAGCCAGGAUGUUGGCUUAGAAGCAGCCAUCAUUUAAAGAAAGCGUAAUAGCUCACUGGUCGAGUCGGCCUGCGCGGAAGAUGUAACGGGGCUAAACCAUGCACCGAAGCUGCGGCAGCGACACUGUGUGUUGUUGGGUAGGGGA